CGAUAUGUGAAUACAUAGCAUAUCUGAAGGCAGACGCGGAGAACUGAAACAUCUUAGUACCCGCAGGAAGAGAAAGAAAAAUCGAUUCCCUGAGUAGCGGCGAGCGAAACGGGAAGAGCCCAAACCAACGAGCUUGCUUGUUGGGGUUGUAGGACACUCUAUACGGAGUUACAAAAGAACAGACUAGACGAAUCAUCUGGAAAGAUGAAUCAAAGAAGGUAAUAAUCCUGUAGUCGAAAGUUUGUUCACUCUUGAGUGGAUCCUGAGUACGACGGAACACGAGAAAUUCCGUCGGAAUCUGGGAGGACCAUCUCCCAAGGCUAAAUACUCUCUAGUGACCGAUAGUGAACCAGUACCGUGAGGGAAAGGUGAAAAGUACCCCGGAAGGGGAGUGAAAUAGAACUUGAAACCGUGUGCUUACAAGUAGUCAGAGCCCGUUAAUGGGUGAUGGCGUGCCUUUUGUAGAAUGAACCGGCGAGUUACGAUUUGAUGCAAGGUUAAGCAGUGAAUGUGGAGCCGUAGCGAAAGCGAGUCUGAAUAGGGCGUUGAGUAUUUGGUCGUAGACCCGAAACCAGGUGAUCUACCCAUGACCAGGUUGAAGUUCAGGUAACACUGAAUGGAGGACCGAACCGACUUACGUUGAAAAGU
rnacentral:rRNA from 1 species